AGUGAACGCUGGCGGUAGGCCUAACACAUGCAAGUCGAACGGCAGCACAGUAAGAGCUUGCUCUUACGGGUGGCGAGUGGCGGACGGGUGAGGAAUACAUCGGAAUCUACUUUUUCGUGGGGGAUAACGUAGGGAAACUUACGCUAAUACCGCAUACGACCUACGGGUGAAAGCAGGGGAUCUUCGGACCUUGCGCGAUUGAAUGAGCCGAUGUCGGAUUAGCUAGUUGGCGGGGUAAAGGCCCACCAAGGCGACGAUCCGUAGCUGGUCUGAGAGGAUGAUCAGCCACACUGGAACUGAGACACGGUCCAGACUCCUACGGGAGGCAGCAGUGGGGAAUAUUGGACAAUGGGCGCAAGCCUGAUCCAGCCAUACCGCGUGGGUGAAGAAGGCCUUCGGGUUGUAAAGACCCUUUGUUGGGAAAGAAAAGCAGCAGGUUAAUACCCCGCUGUUCUGACGGUACCCAAAGAAUAAGCACCGGCUAACUUCGUG
rnacentral:rRNA from 1 species